GAUGACGCGCGGCUGCGGCAAUUUGCAGAGCGGUUCGUUCGCGAUGCUUUCCAAAUUCUUGUUAGCCAAAUGUCCUGCAAAAAGGACCAAAUGGGAACAGUGCUUAAUUAAUGGAAGAAAUGGGAUUUAAAAGGACUCUCGAUCUGAGCUCCUGUUCGCGGCUUAAUUAAAUUAAGUCCAGUUGCCACCAUUAUUUGAUAUCCCCACAUCCUUAUUGAUGACCAACACAGCGUUUGUAUCUAUAUCUACUUGGAGGCAUACGGAAUUCAGUUGCAGUCGCAUUUUAUGGCCGACUAAUGACUUUAUGUGGGCGUUGCAUGCAACAUGCCACGGUCACGGUUAACUGCCGCAAUUUGCGAGGGACUUCACCUACAACAAAUGGCGGGAGCAACAGCAACGAAAGGGACAACAACAACAACAUUUAAUGUAAGCAACGUUCGGGCAAUAAAGGUGCAAAGCUGCUGCUGAUCAAUAAAAAAGUUACAACAAACAAAAAAGAAAGGAGUUGCGUGCACCGAAUAGUAAAUACCCUGACGCUGAAACAAAUCAAGGCAAGGAAGCAGAACAGACAACUAAAGGAUUCCGGCUCGAAUCCCAGGAAUCGAUCGGAGGCAGCCAAAAGCCAACGUCGGAGCUGGAGCUGAAGCUGGAGACGGAGACGGGGCAAAAGACGUAGCCGGAGAGGGGACCCAGAGACGGAGUCGAGGCCAACGUCGAAGCCGGGAGUCGACUUUCAACUUAUUCGCUGUCAAUGACAACAAAAAUGUGAUAAGAAAAUUGUUGCAUCAUUACGCAUUUACAAGAGUUGCCGGCAAGUCCAGCCCCAGCCCCAGCCCCAGCAACAACAGCAACAACAACAUCGAGGCAUAUCAGUUAACAAUUUCCCAGGCUUAGUGACACACUUUCAUUUGCUGCUGUCCACACGCGCUUAACGGUUAACAGCAAACAAACCAAUCAGAUGACAAAAAUAGUAGUCAAAGGAAAACGUGUAUCAAAAAUGAAACAGUUUUAGACAAAGAAAUGGACUUGGAACUAGACUUUUCAGAACUGCGGAAGUUUCAUUCAUUAUGAACAUGCAGGAUGGGAUUUCAACAAAUUCAUCUUCAAUGGCGGAAAAUAGGUGGAAAUACACGUGAAAUCUACUUGUGAUUAAAAGUAUCAGCAACUUGGUAUGUUAUUAAGAUCCUGACGAAUCUUAUGUCAAACGAAUCGUAUGGACAAGGACCUCAAACUGGCCAAAGGACAUCAAAAUCGUCCUUGCCGUUUCAGAGAUAUGGCCAAUUUUCUAAAAAGGACAUUUUUCAAUUAGCCAUAACUCGGCCAAAUCCUUAAGGAUAUCGGAAGGAUAUACCUUG
rnacentral:sRNA from 1 species